UCUCAGUGCGUGUCUAGCAAGGAGCCUGCGUCCCAGAGAGUCCCCGGAGCACCGCCGGCUGGUGCCCAGCGCGCCGGGCCAUGCUGCUGCGGCCACAGCGGAGCUCCUAGCGGCGGUAGCGCCCCCUGUGAGGAGGCCGGAGAUGCCUCUGCCACUGUGAACGGUGCUGUCCGCCAGGAUACGCUCAGCCCCGGACCCUCUGGGCUGUGCGGGCCCGCGACCCACACCGAGUAGGGCGAGCAGCGAGCGCGGCAAAGACCGCCCAGCACGGGCAGCGGAGGCCGGCCGGUGCAGCGCAGGGACGCGUACUCAGUCUGACUGGGGCUGGCACAG
rfam:Myotis lucifugus cont2.39846, whole genome shotgun sequence.